rnacentral:rRNA from 1 species
UACGGAGGGUGCAAACGUUGCUCGGAAUUAUUGGGCGUAAAGCGCGCGCAGGCGGUUUUCCAAGUCAGUGGUGAAAGCCCGGAGCUCAACUCCGGAAUUGCCAUUGAAACUGCAAAACUUGAGGACGAGAGAGGUGAGUGGAAUUCCCAGUGUAGAGGUGAAAUUCGUAGAUAUUGGGAAGAACACCGGUGGCGAAGGCGGCUCACUGGCUCGUUUCUGACGCUCAGGCGCGAUAGCGUGGGGAUCAAACAGG